AACGAACGCUGGCGGCAUGCCUAACACAUGCAAGUCGAACGAGACCUUCGGGUCUAGUGGCGCACGGGUGCGUAACGCGUGGGAACCUGCCCUUAGGUUCGGAAUAACUCCCCGAAAGGGGUGCUAAUACCGGAUAAUGUCUUCGGACCAAAGAUUUAUCGCCUUUGGAUGGGCCCGCGUUGGAUUAGCUAGUUGGUAGGGUAAAAGCCUACCAAGGCGACGAUCCAUAGCUGGUCUGAGAGGAUGAUCAGCCACACUGGGACUGAGACACGGCCCAGACUCCUACGGGAGGCAGCCGUGGGGAAUAUUGGACAAUGGGCGAAAGCCUGAUCCAGCAAUGCCGCGUGAGUGGUGAAGGCCUUAGGGUUGUAAAGCUCUUUUACCCGGGAUGAUAAUGACAGUACCGGGAGAAUAAGCUCCGGCUAACUCCGUG
rnacentral:rRNA from 1 species